CGGGGCGUGGCGCAGUCUGGUAGCGCAUCUGGUUUGGGACCAGAGGGUCGGAGGUUCAAAUCCUCUCGCCCCGACCA
rnacentral:tRNA from 2 species